GUGCUCGCUUCGGCAGCACAUAUACUAAAAUUGGAACGAUACAGAGAAGAUUAGCAUGGCUCCUGCACAAGGAUGACACGUAAAAAAAAAUAAAAAUAAAACGUUAGA
ensembl:snRNA U6 U6 spliceosomal RNA